rnacentral:rRNA from 1 species
UCAUAUGCUUGUCUCAAAGAUUAAGCCAUGCAUGUCUAAGUACAGACCGAUAUACAAGGUGAAACCGCGAAUGGCUCAUUAAAUCAGUUAUGGUUCAUUGGAUCUUACACGAGUUACUUGGAUAACCGUGGUAAUUCUAGAGCUAAUACAUGCAACUAAGCUCCGACCGCAAGGGAAGAGCGCAGUUAUUAGAUCAAAACCAAUCAGGUUCCUAGUCACCUGAUGAAGUUGUGAUGACUCUGAAUAACAUUGAGCUGAGCGCAUGGUCUCUGGACCGGCGCCGCAUCUUUCAAGUGUCUGCCUUAUCAGCUUGAUUGUAGGUUAUGUGCCUACAAUGGCUAUAACGGGUAACGGGGAAUCAGGGUUCGAUUCCGGAGAGGGAGCCUGAGAAACGGCUACCACAUCUAAGGAAGGCAGCAGGCACGCAAAUUACCCACUCCCAGUUCGGGGAGGUAGUGACGAAAUAUAACGAUGCGUGUCUCUAAUUGAGGCUUCGCAAUCGGAAUGAGUACACUCUAAAUCCUUGUACGAGGAUCAAUUGGAGGGCAAGUCUGGUGCCAGCAGCCGCGGUAAUUCCAGCUCCAAUAGCAUAUAUUAAAGUUGUUGUGGUUAAAAAGCUCGUAGUUGGAUGUCUAAUAUUGACUGAUGGUGCGCCUCUGGCGAUUACUGUCGGUUGAAAUAACUAGUCAGCUUGCAUGCGAUGCUCUUUAUUGAGUGUCGUGCGUGGCUGGCAUGAUUACUUUGAAAAAAUUAGAGUGCUCAAAGCAGGUUAAUGCCUGAAUAUGAUGCAUGGAAUAAUGGAAUAUGACCUCGGUUCUAUUUCGUUGGUUUACUGAACCUGAGUUAAUGAUUAAAAGAGACGGACGGGGGCAUUCGUAUUGCGACGCUAGAGGUGAAAUUCUAUGACCGUCGCACGACGUACA